rnacentral:rRNA from 1 species
UACGUAGGCGGAAAAUUAAGUCAGUAGUGAAAUCCUGCAGCUUAACAGUAGAACUGUUAUUGAUACUGGUUUUCUUGAAUAUAGUUGAGGUAGGCGGAAUGUGUAAUGUAGCGGUGAAAUGCUUAGAUAUUACACAGAACACCGAUUGCGAAGGCAGCUUACUAAGCUAUGAUUGACGCUGGGGUACGAAAGCGUGGGGAGCGAACAGGAUUAGAUACCCUGGUAGUCC